rnacentral:rRNA from 1 species
CUGGAGGACCGAACCGACUAAUGUUGAAAAAUUAGCGGAUGACCUGUGGCUGGGGGUGAAAGGCCAAUCAAACCGGGAGAUAGCUGGUUCUCCCCGAAAGCUAUUUAGGUAGCGCCUCGUGAAUUCAUCUCCGGGGGUAGAGCACUGUUUCGGCUAGGGGGCCAUCCCGGCUUACCAACCCGAUGCAAACUGCGAAUACCGGAGAAUGUUAUCACGGGAGACACACGGCGGGUGCUAAUGUCCGUCGUGAAGAGGGAAACAACCCAGACCGCCAGCUAAGGUCCCAAAGUCAUGGUUAAGUGGGAAACGAUGUGGGAAGGCCCAGACAGCCAGGAUGUUGGCUUAGAAGCAGCCAUCAUUUAAAGAAAGCGUAAUAGCUCACUGGUCGAGUCGGCCUGCGCGGAAGAUGUAACGGGGCUAAACCAUGCACCGAAGCUGCGGCAGCGACACCGUGUGUUGUUGGGUAGGGGAGCGUUCUGUAAGCCUGUGAAGGUGUGCUGUGAGGCAUGCUGGAGGUAUCAGAAGUGCGAAUGCUGACAUAAGUAACGAUAAAGCGGGUGAAAAGCCCGCUCGCCGGAAGACCAAGGGUUCCUGUCCAACGUUAAUCGGGGCAGGGUGAGUCGACCCCUAAGGCGAGGCCGAAAGGCGUAGUCGAUGGGAAACGGGUUAAUAUUCCCGUACUUGGUGUUACUGCGAAGGGGGGACGGAGAAGGCUAUGUUGGCCGGGCGACGGUUGUCCCGGUUUAAGCGUGUAGGUAUGUGUUCCAGGUAAAUCCGGUUCACUUUAACACUGAGGCGUGACGACGAGGCACUACGGUGCUGAAGCAACAAAUGCCCUGCUUCCAGGAAAAGCCUCUAAGCAUCAGGUAACAUCAAAUCGUACCCCAAACCGACACAGGUGGUCAGGUAGAGAAUACCAAGGCGCUUGAGAGAACUCG